GACGAACGCUGGCGGCGUGCCUAAUACAUGCAAGUAGAACGCAGUUGCGAACGGGUGAGUAACGCGUAGGUAACUGCCUGGUAGCGGGGGAUAACUAUUGGAAACGAUAGCUAAUACCGCAUACUACCAGAUGGACCUGCGUUGUAUUAGCUAGUUGGUGAGGUAACGGCUCACCAAGGCAACGGUACAUAGCCGACCUGGAAGGGUGAUCGGCCACACUGGGACUUGGACACGGGCCAGACCCCUUCCGGAGGCAGCAGUAGGGAAUCUUCGGCCAUGGGGGGAACCCUGAACGAGCCACGCCGGGGGAGUGAAGAAGGGUUUCGGAUCGUAAAGCUCUGUUGGUAAGGAAGCGGUACUUAACCAGAAAGGGACGGCUAACUACGUGCCAGCAGCCGCGGUAAUAC
rnacentral:rRNA from 1 species